rnacentral:pre_miRNA from 1 species
AAUAGAUAACGCCGUUGAUUUUUUCUCACAUGUUUGACCAUUCAUCUUAUUCAAAAAAUUUACGUAAUUAUAAUUUAUUUUGUUAUGAAUUGUUUUAUCACUCAUAGUACUUGAAGUGUGAUUUGUAUCUUAUACAUUUGCAUAAAUUUUUUGAAUAAGAUGAAUAGUCAAACAUGUGAGAAAAGUCAACGGCGUCAUCUAUU